rnacentral:lncRNA from 1 species
CUGAAUGAAAUGAAAAGUUAAACUCUGUGAGUUGAACGCACACAUCACAGAGCAGUUUCUGAGAAUGAUUCUGUCGGGUUUUUAUACGAAGAUAUUUCCUUUUCUGCCUUUGACCUCAAGGCGCUUGAUGUCUCCACUUGCAAAUUGCACAAAAAGAGUGUUUCGAAUCUGCUCUGUCUAAAGGAAGGUUCAACUCUGUCAGUUGAAUACACACAACACAAAGAAGUUACUAAGAAUUCUUCCCUCUAGCAUUAUAUGGAGAAAUC